AGUCACCUACGGGACGCAGCAGUGAGGAAUAUUGGUCAAUGGGCUUACGCCUGAACCAGCCAAGUCGCGUGAGGGAAGACUGCCCUAUGGGUUGUAAACCUCUUUUGUCAGGGAGCAACGCCGGCUACGUGUAGCCGGACUGAGAGUACCUGAAGAAAAAGCAUCGGCUAACUCCGUGCCAGCAGCCGCGGUAAUACGGAGGAUGCGAGCGUUAUCCGGAUUUAUUGGGUUUAAAGGGUGCGUAGGCGGAAUGCCAAGUCAGCGGUAAAAUCGCGGGGCUCAACCCCGACAAGCCGUGGAAACUG
rnacentral:rRNA from 1 species